rnacentral:rRNA from 1 species
AAACAUGUCCUCUUGAUGAUAUUUUGAGGUCUGGCCUGCUCACUGACAAGGUUUUGAAGAGCCGCGGUAUUUUGACCGUGCAAAGGUAGCAUAAUCAUUAGUCUCUUAAUUAGGGGCUGGAAUGAAUGGCUUGACGAGAAAUCAACUGUCUCUUAAUAAUUUUUAAAAUUUAACUUUUGAGUCAAAAGGCUUAAAUUUUUCUUUAGGACGAGAAGACCCUAUAGAGCUUAACAUUUUAUUUUUAUAUAGUUUUUAGUUAAUCUUUCUAUAUUUAAUGAUAAUGUUUUGUUGGGGUGACAUGAAGAAUAAUUAAACUCUUCAUUAUAGAAUCAUUGAUUUAUGUUUAUCAUGAUCCAUAAUUUAUGAUCAUAAGAUUAAGUUACCUUAGGGAUAACAGCGUAAUUGUUUUCGAGAGCUCAUAUCGACAAAGCAGAUUGCGACCUCGAUGUUGGAUUAAGAAAAAUUUUGGGUGCAGGAGUCCAAUAAUU